CAUUAACGCAUCUCAUCGGGGUUUCGGUGGCCCUGCUCCGGUUCAGGCCGUGCAGAGCGGGCCCCGUUCCCUGAAAAACCACAAACCCCCCGUGCACCUUUCGUGGCAUAGGGUGCGGCGCGAGCCUAGCCCAAAGCUGCGGUCUCACAGACACUGUAAUCGAACGUCGAGCGGACAAUGUUCCGCCCAUGAACUUAACAACUUUCAACAACGGAUCUCUUGGCUCUCGCAUCGAUGAAGAACGCCGCAAAAUGCGAUAACUAAUGUGAAUUGNNNNNNNNNNNGCUUGGAAAGGGGAACGCAGCGAAAUGGGAAAAGUAAUAUGAAGGGCAGAAUUCAGUGAAUCAUCGAAUCUUUGAACGCACCUUGCGCUCCUUGGUAUUCCGAGGAGCAUGCCUGUUUGAGUGUCUUGAAAUCAUCAAACCCCUGCACUUUUGUGCUGGGUUUGGAGCCUGGGGGCCUGCUGCCGAAGAGGUGGCUCCCCUCAAAUGCAUCGGUUGGGCCUAGGGGGUCGAACUUGACUGGGCGUUGUACCAUCCUCGCUCUAGUGGACAGACCCCGUGCCCGAGCCAGACCGCCCGCGGGGUGGCGGUCAGACAUGUAACUUGACAAUCUGACCUCAAAUCAGGUAG
rnacentral:misc_RNA from 1 species